rnacentral:lncRNA from 1 species
CGAUGAUGUGGUUGUCCUCGCUCGUGUCAUUCUUACCAAGUCAUGAAAUGCCUUGGGUUACCAUCGGCAGAGGAGGAACCAAUGGGUUAGGAUUAGGCAUACACUGUAGGUUAUGUUUUUUUUUUUUGUAUUUUGGGAUGUUCUAGUAUUAUUUUCCAUACUUUGAGAAUAAUAUUUGUAAUAUUAUGGGAUUUUUUUAAUUAAUACAUUACUUUUUUAUAUAAUGUGCGUGUUUAUUAAUAAUCGAAUUAAAUUAUGACACUGUUAGUCGAACUAAAAUGAC